rnacentral:misc_RNA from 1 species
AAGUCGUAACAAGGUUUCCGUAGGUGAACCUGCGGAAGGAUCAUUAACACGUUAUAAACGUAUCAACCAACUGUGAACUUGUUUUCAACUCUCCCUGCCGGCAACAUGAAUUGGCUAAUUCGUUAGGUUUUGGAAUGGGAGUCGCCCUCGGGCGGCUCAGGCCUAAUGAAUAACUUGGGUGGAAACUUCGGUUUCUGCACUAACAAUUGUAGUGGUCGCGUCAGGACAAACCCGUUCUGCUAUGAAGUCCGUCCAUUAACCGGAUCGAUAGUAGAAUAAAUUAUACACGAAAAUCACCCAAUUUUUGCUAGUUGACUUUUAUAUGUUGGUUUCAUUCGUACUUCAUUGAACGUAAUGGGAUCACACGUUUCUUAAUUGAACGUUAAAAUUACAACUCUUAGCAAUGGAUAUCUUGGUUCUC